AGAGUGCUACUACAAUGGCUUUUUUACACAGUAUAAUUUUUAAUAAGGCACAAAAUUGGCAGGUGUCCUUAAAAAAAGUCCUUGAAACAUUUCUAUGGAAUAUUAUCCUAACUGUUCUUGCCAAUUUAGAGCUGAGACAAUCGAGCCCUAUAUCCUAGAUUUCGCAGUCAAUUUCAACUUUUGUUUGGUUCUGCUGUAGUUCAUCAACUGGCAGUUGCAAUAACCCCCAGGUGCUUCUCAUAAAAAGUAGAUGACCAAUUUAAACAGGUAAAGAGAGCUUUGAGAUCUGUCUCCACAGAAAAUGUUAAUAAUAUCCCAUUUCUUUCACAGAACAUAAGCUGACUUUCUGAUGUGACAUUUAAUUAUUUCCCUUGUUCUUUAUUAACCUUAAGAAUACACAGUAAGGGAAUAGAAAGCAAUCGUUUUAAGCAGGAGACACUGGUGUAAUAAAUAUGUGAUCUGGAAACAUGUAUGCAAAUGUUCUGCCCUACUCUUGUGAUAUUUAAUUGUUGAGUCUUGCUAAGGAUAACCAGUUCCUAAGUACAGCUAGCUAUGCUUCUCUGAUACCUUUGAAGGCAGAAUUCUACUUGCUGUUGUGUACUUCUCCUGUUCCUAUAUUCAGCUUCCAUAGGUUUGAUGUUACAGGUUCAGAAAGAACUAGUCCUUUAAAAAUAUAUACAUUAAUAGGGAGGGACCGACCCUGUUCCUGCCAUUCCAUCCAUAGGAAUUCCAUCCAUAGGAAUAAUACCAUUGCCAUAAGUAAAAAAUAAGCUGUUUGGGACCUUCCAUUGGAUGGUUGCCAUCCUUGGAGAGUUUACCUUGGCCAUAAGUCUCUUUUACCCAGAUUUGCAGUUAGAUUAAUUUGUGCCUUGUAUCUGUGUUAAUAUUUCAACUCAUACAUGGUGUUGCUAUGUGAAUUAUCCUUCUUCAUGCUGAAUUUAACUUUCAUAUUUAUCCUAAAAACCGUAUCUUACUGUGAUCCAGUGUGGUAUACAAAGCAGAGCCCUUUCAGAAAUAUAUCUCGCA